CUCCCUGAUAGAGAGUCAUAGGGCAGGAUUUACACAGAGCACAUUCAGAGAUUGAUUGAUAGAUUCUUGUUGUCUCGAAGAAUUAAGGGCUACGGGGAGAAUGCGGCUACCACUUUCUCUGGAAGUUCAUUCCACACAGGCUCGUGUGUUAAAGUGACAGGCAGCUGGAAGCUCGGGGUCUGUUUUUGCAGCAGAACGUCGAUCAUCAGUCGCCAUUUCCGCCACCUCCACUGAGAUGCUGCCAGACAAAGGUUCCUGUCCCCUCCAUUAACAGCUAUGCACCCUCCCAGCCAGGAUAUUAAAUCAGAAUAAUUGAAGCUGGGAUCUCAAAAGCAAGUUUUUACAGUCAAUGGAGUCAUCGGGAUCUGAAUAUCAUUUGCAUUUGACUGUGGACGGAGAAAGGAUGAGGCAGUCACUGGCUCGGCCAGCAUUUAAUACUGCGUUUACCCAGAGGGCAGUUAAGAGUCAACCACGUUGCU